UUUCAAUUCAACUUUCAACUUUCCAAUUGCGUUUGUUAUCUUCAUGUUCUAACGUAGUUUCAUAUGGUGGUUUGAACUUCAGAGGAUUGUGUUGCAUUCAGAGUUUACCGGAAUUUCAUUUUCUAUGAUAAAUUGGAGUUAGACAUUGAGCAUUCUUUCUGGUGUGUGAAGAAUUAAUUAGUUGUGUGUUCAAGUGCUAGCUGGUGCUAGAUUUUAGCCAGAGAGUUUAAGGGAACACCCAGUUUCUUUCACACCUCUUGUCAACAAUCUUGCCAGCUGAGCAAUUAGUCUGUCAUGCUUUGUCCUUAGACUGAAGAUGGAGGACUUCUGUGACUUACCCUUUGAUCUAAAUGAAAUUUUCAGAGUGGAAACCUUAGAUGACACAGAAAUACUUACAGACCCUUAUCUGUGUUUGUCAAUCCUUGGACAGGAGAACCCGGAUGAGGUGUUGAAUGGUGGUGUGUUGUUGGAAUUGGAGAGCUUCCUGUUUGAUGGCCCUUCAGCAGAGAGUACAACAGGAGAUUUGUAUAGGGAUCCCCCAAAUGUUCAGACGGUCCCUG